rnacentral:SRP_RNA from 1 species
GCCGGGCGCAGUGGCUUGCGCCUGUAAUCCCGGCACUUUGGGAGGCUGAGGCAGGUGGAUCACCUGAGGUCAGGAGUUUGAGACCAUCCUGGCCAACACGGCGAAACCCUGUCUCUA